GAUUUAAGUGAAUAGCCUAGCUAUCUCACGCCCCCCUCUCGUUCUCUUGAAGAACUUUGAUUUUAACGAACUUAAAUAAAAGCCCUGUUGCAAAGUGUACUGUCGUGGUUCGCCAGACAUAUGCGCUGCAUUGGGUACAAUACUAAUUAAAUACUAUUUUUCAUUCUGAGCGGCGUGUCUCUUGUACAUCCCGGUCACAAUACCCAGUUCCGUCUGGUGCGUGACAAUCCGGGGCACACCAUGUCUUCCGUGGCUGGUGUGGUCGCGCAAGGUGCGCGCGACAUGUAU
rfam:BtVs-BetaCoV/SC2013, complete genome.